rnacentral:rRNA from 1 species
AUGCAAGUCGAGCGGUAAGGCCCUUCGGGGUACACGAGCGGCGAACGGGUGAGUAACACGUGGGUGAUCUGCCCUGUACUUCGGGAUAAGCCUGGGAAACUGGGUCUAAUACCGGAUAUGACCUUACAUCGCAUGGUGUUUGGUGGAAAGAUUUAUCGGUACAGGAUGGGCCCGCGGCCUAUCAGCUUGUUGGUGGGGUAAUGGCCUACCAAGGCGACGACGGGUAGCCGGCCUGAGAGGGCGACCGGCCACACUGGGACUGAGACACGGCCCAGACUCCUACGGGAGGCAGCAGUGGGGAAUAUUGCACAAUGGGCGAAAGCCUGAUGCAGCGACGCCGCGUGAGGGAUGACGGCCUUCGGGUUGUAAACCUCUUUCGACAGGGACGAAGCGCAAGUGACGGUACCUGUAGAAGAAGCACCGGCCAACUACGUGCCAGCAGCCG